CUUUACAAUAAAAUAUUUAACUACAAGAACUUAUUCUGUAAAGAAUCAAAGAAUUAUACAAUGUUAUGUUGUUCGUGUUCCUUUUAUUUCUCUUAUAAUAUAUAUAUAUAGGCAUCUUUCUCACUCAUUUACACAUAACUUGGGCUGCAUUUCUUCAGUUCACUACUGCAUAUUUGAUAUGAUUGUUGCCUGCAGUUACUCUUUUAAAAUGUUCUUCCCCCAGAACUUCAUUGCCCCAAGACAACACCCACUCAUGGUUCUAAAGAUGGCUCGACUUCAAUGAUCGACCGGGGACCUCCAAGGUUUUGUUGACUUAAACUCUGGUUCUUUGAGGCUUGUUGCUAUAUUGGCACCAUUGAUGAGUUGCUUGACUUAUAUGGUACGAGCAUCAGAGCUGUUGUUGCACAUGCAUUCAGGAAUUGGGUACUUGGUAACGUCUCGUCCGACUUUGCUGGUUCGAAGUUCGGGCUGUCCGAGAGAGUCCUGAUGCAGCUCCCUGAUGACCCUGUUAAACUCUGCUUCAGGGAGUGAGGAGUCCAAGAAAAGGGGAAGCAUGUGCCUUUUGUUUGGUGUUAUGUACUUCUUGUGCCCAGCAUAAGCCCUAUGUCCCUGA
rnacentral:misc_RNA from 1 species